rnacentral:rRNA from 1 species
GAAACCGUUUAUACCAGGGCUACUACACCAGAUCCCAUCAGAACUCUGCAGUUAAGCGCCCUUGGUCCGGAAUAGUAGUGGGAUGAGUGAUCUCCCGGUGCCGCAUCCAACCUUUUUG